ACUCAAAUGAAUUGACGGGGACCCGCACAAGCGGUGGAGCAUGUGGUUUAAUUCGAAGCAACGCGAAGAACCUUACCAGGUCUUGACAUCCCACUGACCGGUGUAGAGAUACGCCUUUCCCUUCGGGGACAGUGGUGACAGGUGGUGCAUGGUUGUCGUCAGCUCGUGUCGUGAGAUGUUGGGUUAAGUCCCGCAACGAGCGCAACCCUUGAUCUUAGUUGCCAGCAUUCAGUUGGGCACUCUAAGGUGACUGCCGGUGAUAAACCGGAGGAAGGUGGGGAUGACGUCAAAUCAUCAUGCCCCUUAUGACCUGGGCUACACACGUGCUACAAUGGAUGAUACAGAGGGUUGCCAACCCGCGAGGGGGAGCUAAUCCCAUAAAAUCAUUCCCAGUUCGGAUUGGAGGCUGCAACUCGCCUCCAUGAAGCCGGAAUCGCUAGUAAUCGUGGAUCAGCAUGCCACGGUGAAUACGUUCCCGGGUCUUGUACACACCGCCCGU
rnacentral:rRNA from 1 species